rnacentral:lncRNA from 1 species
CUGCACGUUCUCAUUAGCACCUGACUUCUCACGAGACUUCCUCUGCACGUUCAUUAGAAGGCUGCGCAAACCCAGCCCUGCAUGUGGCACGUGACCCUCAGGUAGCUCUCUGAAUGUGAAGGUGCUUUAAUGUAGAUCCCUAGGAAGACCUAUGAGGACGAGAAACUGGGGGAGGAGUUAAAGAGGGAGGAGAGGAGCUGGAAUCUGCAGCCCCAGAUAGAGGGAUUAGCUAACGACAAAGGAAAGAAAGGUAGGGGUCCAGAUAGGUUUCCAGAUGUGAGAGACGGGAACCUGAGGGAGAUAAAAAACAAAACAAAACAAAACAAAAAAAACAAGGAGGGGGAGGAAGCAGCUGAAGCUGCAAAUCAAUUAACAGGGAGAUAUUCGGCUUUUCUGGGGCAGAAGGAAGGUUGGCAAGUUAAUCAAGGAUGGAGUCAAAAAGCAGUUCCUUAAGGUAGCCAUCAGCCAUCAUGUCUCCAGUGAGGGAUGCUCAGCCUGUUAUGGGCCUCAAAGCUAUGUUGAGUGACAGCAGAUGCCGUGAGAAGAGCACAGGCUUUGAGCUCCUAAAGAGCUGGGUUUCAUCUCAUGCCGUCGCCUUUUUCUUGGUUACCUUGGCAAGGUCUAUCUCUCCCAUCAGAUUAUGAGCCCUUUAGAAAAGAGACCAUAUGUUCUUCAUUUUAGAGUCUUCACAACUUUUCACAGAGCUUGUGACUUAGUGUCAUUUUAAUUUUGAAAAUACAUCUUAGUGCACAAAUACUAUUAUAAUACUAUACUGUCACUGUAAACAUUCUAAGCAAUAAAGAUAAUGAGAAAGUCCUCCUUGACCCCAGUUCAAUGUCACUUCCUUCCCAGAGUAAUCCAUUUAAUAAUGCAUCCUUCCAGGCCUUUGUCUAUGCCCUUACAUACCUACAAACAUGGAGAAAUAUAUGGUUUUAAAGAGGUAAAUAUAAUAGGAUUAUACUAGUAAUUAUUUUACAACAUAUCUUUUUUUUUUUUUCUUUUAAAAAUAUCUUCCAGGGAGUUCCCGUCGUGGCGCAGUGGUUAACGAAUCCGACUAGGAACCAUGAGGUUUCGGGUUCGACCCCUGCCCCUUGCUCAGUGGGUUAACGAUCCGGCGUUGCCGUGAGCUAUGGUGUAGGUCGCAGACGCGGCUCGGAUCCCGCGUUGCUGUGGCUCUGGCGUA